UACGGAGGGUGCAAGCGUUAUCCGGAUUCAUUGGGUUUAAAGGGUGCGCAGGCGGGCUUGUCAGUCAGUGGUGAAAUCCUACGGCUUAACCGUGGAACUGCCAUUGAUACUGCAAGUCUUGAGUAUAGUUGAAGUGGGCGGAAUGUAGCAUGUAGCGGUGAAAUGCAUAGAUAUGCUACAGAACACCAAUUGCGAAGGCAGCUCACUAAGUUAUAACUGACGCUCAUGCACGAAAGCGUGGGGAUCAAACAGG
rnacentral:rRNA from 1 species